UACGUAGGGGGCAAGCGUUGUCCGGAAUCAUUGGGCGUAAAGCGCGCGUAGGCGGCCCGUUAAGUCCGUUGUGAAAGUCAAAGGCUCAACCUUUGAAUGCCGAUGGAUACUGCCGGGCUAGAGUCCGGAAGAGGCGAGUGGAAUUCCUGGUGUAGCGGUGGAAUGCGCAGAUAUCAGGAGGAGCACCGAUAGCGAAGGCAGCUCGCUGGGACGGUACUGACGCUGAGGCGCGAAAGCGUGGGGAGCGAACAGG
rnacentral:rRNA from 1 species